rnacentral:rRNA from 1 species
GGUUGACCUCGGAUCAGGUAGGGAUACCCGCUGAACUUAAGCAUAUCAAUAAGCGGAGGAAAAGAAACCAACCGGGAUUGCCCUAGUAACGGCGAGUGAAGCGGCAAGAGCUCAAAUUUGAAAGCUGGCCCCCUCGGGGUCCGCAUUGUAAUUUGCAGAGGAUGCUUCGGGAACGGCCCCCAUCUAAGUGCCCUGGAACGGGCCGUCAUAGAGGGUGAGAAUCCCGUCUGGGAUGGGGUGGCCGCGCCCGUGUGAAGCUCCUUCGACGAGUCGAGUUGUUUGGGAAUGCAGCUCUAAUUGGGUGGUAAAUUUCAUCUAAAGCUAAAUAUUGGCCGGAGACCGAUAGCGCACAAGUAGAGUGAUCGAAAGAUGAAAAGCACUUUGAAAAGAGAGUUAAACAGCACGUGAAAUUGUUGAAAGGGAAGCGCUUGCGACCAGACUCGCCCGCGGGGUUCAGCCGGCACUCGUGCCGGUGUACUUCCCCGCGGGCGGGCCAGCGUCGGUUUGGGCGGCCGGUCAAAGGCCUCUGGAAGGUAACGCCUCUCGGGGCGUCUUAUAGCCAGGGGUGCCAUGCGGCCUGCCCGGACCGAGGAACGCGCUUCGGCUCGGACGCUGGCAUAAUGGUCGUAAGCGACC